rnacentral:rRNA from 1 species
UACGGAGGGGGCUAGCGUUGUUCGGAAUUACUGGGCGUAAAGCGCGCGUAGGCGGACCAUCAAGUUGGGGGUGAAAUCCCGGGGCUCAACCUCGGAACUGCCUCCAAAACUGCUGGUCUUGAGUUCGAGAGAGGUGAGUGGAAUUCCGAGUGUAGAGGUGAAAUUCGUAGAUAUUCGGAAGAACACCAGUGGCGAAGGCGACUCACUGGACAAGUAUUGACGCUGAGGUGCGAAAGCGUGGGGAGCAAACAGG